CCUCCCGGUUCGUGUUCCCGCCGCCGCCGUCGUCGCCGUCUCAGGCCGGCCUUCCCGGCAGCCUUCCCGCGAGGCCGCCGCCGCCUCCGUCCGCCCGAGCCGGCCCGAAGCAACCGCCGGAGCGUUAAGUCGGAGGGCGCGCCGCCGCGGGCCGCCGGUCCAGGGCCAUGAGCUACGGCCGCCCGCCUCCCGACGUGGAGGGCAUGACCUCCCUCAAGGUGGACAACCUGACGUACCGCACCUCGCCCGACACGCUGCGGCGCGUCUUCGAGAAGUACGGCCGCGUGGGCGACGUGUACAUCCCGCGCGACCGCUACACCAAGGAGUCCCGCGGCUUCGCCUUCGUGCGCUUCCACGACAAGCGCGACGCCGAGGACGCCAUGGACGCCAUGGACGGGGCGGUGCUGGACGGGCGCGAGCUGCGGGUGCAGAUGGCGCGCUACGGCCGCCCGCCCGACUCGCACCACAGCCGCCGCGGCCCGCCGCCCCGGCGCUACGGGGGCGGCGGCUACGGCCGGCGGAGCCGCAGCCCGCGCCGCCGCCGCCGCUCCCGCUCGCGCUCCCGCAGCCGCUCCCGCUCCCGCAGCCGCUCGCGCUACAGCCGCUCCAAGUCGCGCUCCCGCACCCGCUCGCGCUCGCGCUCCACGUCCAAGUCCCGCUCGGCGCGGAGGUCCAAGUCCAAGUCGUCGUCGGUGUCGCGCUCCCGCUCGCGGUCGCGCUCCCGCUCGCGCUCCCGCAGCCCGCCGCCCGUGUCCAAGAGGGAGUCCAAGUCGCGCUCGCGCUCCAAGAGCCCCCCGAAGUCGCCCGAGGAGGAGGGCGCCGUGUCGUCGUAGGCCAACGCUGCGGUCUCCUGUUUGAUAAGAGAAUAUUGGCCAGUUUUGCCGAUUUUAACUGAUUUGGCUGAUCCUCCAGGGACCAGUUUCUGUGGGCGUGUGUUGGAGCAGGUUUGUCUUGACGCGUUAAAGAUGCACUAUCCUCUUAGCAUCGGCGCAGCCUUUGUUGUGCCGGCCGGGAGUGAGGCGCCAGGGAGGUGGCGAACGCUGUGCAGUCAGCGGCGACCGUUUGGACCCCAGAGAGUUCGCAGAUGCGCCCGCCAGCGUCCUAGCGGAAGACCCGGAGCAGAAAGGACCUCAGACUCAGUCCAUCCAAGAGUCCUUGGAGCAAGCAACUGGCUGUUGAAAAGGUUAUUUUGUAACAUUUUGUCUAACUUUUUACCUGUUUUAAGCUUUGCCUCAGGUGGCAAACUUCAUUUUUAUGUGCCAUUUUGUUGCUGUUAUUCAAAUUUCUUGUAAUUUAGUGAGGUGAACGACAUCAGAUUUCAUUAUUGACUUGGAUAUUUGAGGUAAAAUUUCCUUUUUGUUACAUAGCGCUGACUUUUUUUGUUUGAAAUUGAACAGAUUGGUAACCUAAUUUGUGGCCUCCUGACUUGUAAGGAAACGUGUGCAGCCAUUUCGCACAGCCUAAAUGUCGAGAUUGCCUCAGCAUUGCCUUCAUUCCUUAAAAUUAGAAACCCACAAAAGUUGGUGUCGAUUUGUAUAUGUUAUUUGCCUUCGGUAAUCUGAACCCAAAUUUGUGUAAAGACUUUUCAGGUGAAAAGACUUGAUUUUUUGAAAGGAUCGUUUACCAAACACAAUUCUAAUCUCUUCUCUUAUGUAUUUUUGUGCACUAGGCGCAGUUGUGUAGCAGUUGAGUAAUGCUGGUUAGCUGUUAAGGUGGCGUGUUGCAGUGCAGAGUGCUUGGCUGUUUCCUGUUUUCUCCUGAUUGCUCCUGUGUAAAGCUGCCUUGUCGUGCAGAAACAAAUGGCUGUCCAGUUUAUUAAAAUGCCUGACAACUGCACUUCCAGUCACCCGGGCCUUGCAUAUAGAUAACGGAGCAUACAGUGAGCACAUCUAGCUGAUGAUAAAUACACAUUUUUUCUCUCCCAACCCCCCUCCCAUGGUCAAUCCAAUUCUCAUGUAUGAACUUAAAAAAAUACGGAAAUGUUAAGGAAGCAAAUGGUUUGUAACUUUGUAAGUACUUAUGACAUGGUGUAUCUUUGCUCAUGAAUAUCCUGUACUAUAACCAUUGUUUCUGUAGUUUUAAUUAAAACGUUUCUUGGUGUUAGCUUUUCUCAGAA